rnacentral:misc_RNA from 1 species
AUUGAUAAAAUUAAAAGAAUUGGAUUGAAUUGAAAAUCUGCUCAAAGUUCCGGUUUUUGAGACUAUUAGACCUAAAUUACUGAUUGGCUCUCCUUGUAACUGUCUUCUCACUGAUAGACGUCACAUCCAAUUUCCUCCACUAGUCUUUCAUUUUACAGAGUUCUCUAUUGCUACAUGUUAGAUUUGCUAACCUUUCAUAAAAAGCAAUAAUCAUAUUUCACAAUUAGCUUUAAUCAGACUCAGAGUCAAAUGUGGUAUCUGACUGAGCCAGCAACUUCUGGUAAUUAGCAGGUCUGAAUUUUUCGUACUGUUGAUUACUUGAGUUCAUCUUCAUUUUGACAGGCAACAUUUUAGUCAUAAAAAGUAGAGGUGCCAAACUAAGCAUGUACGAAGAUCACAGACACCCACCAUACACAGUGACAUGUAACACCCUACCGUUGAGCCACAUUAGCCCAAUCCUGUAUAGGUCAUGACGCAAAUCACUUUCU